rnacentral:antisense_RNA from 1 species
GGAUUUAGCUUCUCUGAAUUUAAAGUCUGUAUAGUUUUUGGUUGGGCAGAUAUCCACCGGGUACUGAUUUGGAGUUGGGGCUUCUUCCAUCACAUAGCCUUGCUGGGAAAAGGAGGAGUACAGGAAUUGUGUGGGGUGGUUAUGGCCAGCCCUGCUGCGUUCAGCAGGCCCUGUUGGCAGAGGUGUAUUCGCCAGAAUCAGGGUGCUUAGCAUCCAUCCUUGGAGUGUCUAAGCAAAGGGACAUAUUCCUGGUCUAUGCACCCAGGCCUGGCUAUAGCUGAGCAAGUCUACAGUAGACCUUUCCCAUUGGCUUAGCUGUUCAGAAGGAGAGCUGGACAUCUCUUGUUCUUUUCCAUUAGCCCUCAAUCUGAUUGGCCCUCGAGCUGCGGAUGUGCUGUCUGAGUUGUCCUAUGCCCCUAUGACUCCAGACCACUUCCCAAGCCUCUUUUGCAAGCUUCUUCAAGUUCCUUCAAAAUUUUGCCUGGGUGG